rnacentral:rRNA from 1 species
AUUGAACGCUGGCGGCAUGCUUUACACAUGCAAGUCGAACGGUAACAGGCCGCAAGGUGCUGACGAGUGGCGAACGGGUGAGUAAUGCAUCGGAACGUGCCCAGUCGUGGGGGAUAACGCAGCGAAAGCUGCGCUAAUACCGCAUACGAUCUAUGGAUGAAAGCGGGGGACCGUAAGGCCUCGCGCGAUUGGAGCGGCCGAUGUCAGAUUAGGUAGUUGGUGGGGUAAAGGCUCACCAAGCCAACGAUCUGUAGCUGGUCUGAGAGGACGACCAGCCACACUGGGACUGAGACACGGCCCAGACUCCUACGGGAGGCAGCAGUGGGGAAUUUUGGACAAUGGGCGCAAGCCUGAUCCAGCAAUGCCGCGCGCAGGAAGAAGGCCUUCGGGUUGUAAACUGCUUUUGUACGGAACGAAACGGUCCGGGUUAAUACCCUGGGCUAAUGACGGUACCGUAAGAAUAAGCACCGGCUAACUACGUGCCAGCCGCCGCGGUAACAC